rnacentral:rRNA from 1 species
CAAUAGCGUAUAUUAAUGUUGUUGCAGUUAAAAAGCUCGUAGUUGGAUUUCUGGUGGGAGCGGCCGGUCCGCCGUAAGGUGUGUACUUGGUUGUCUCCUGUCAUCCUUGUGGGAACUGCUCUGGCAUUAAGUUGUCGGGGUUAGGGAACACAUCGUUUACUGUGAAAAAAUUAGAGUGUUUAAAGCGGGCUUAUGCCGUUGAAUACAUUAGCAUGGAAUAAUAAGAUAGGACUUUGGCGUCUAUUUUGUUGGUUUGCACACCAAGGUAAUGAUUAAUAGGGAUAGUUGGGGGUAUUCGUAUUUAAUUGUCAGAGGUGAAAUUCUUGGAUUUAUGAAAGACGAACUUCUGCGAAAGCAUUUACCAAAGAUGUUUUCAUUAA